rnacentral:rRNA from 1 species
GAUAACCCUGGGAAACUGGGGAUAAUACUGGAUAGGCAAUUAUUCCUGUAAUGGUUUUUUGUUUAAAUGUUUUUUCGCCUAAGGAUGAGUCUGCGGCCGAUUAGGUAGUUGGUUAGGUAAUGGCUUACCAAGCCGUUGAUCGGUACGGGUUGUGAGAGCAAGAGCCCGGAGAUGGAACCUGAGACAAGGUUCCAGGCCCUACGGGGUGCAGCAGGCGCGAAACCUCCGCAAUGUGAGAAAUCGCGACGGGGGGAUCCCAAGUGCCAUUCUUAACGGGAUGGCUUUUCAUUAGUGUAAAGAGCUUUUGGAAUAAGAGCUGGGCAAGACCGGUGCCAGCCGCCGCGGUAACACCGGCAGCUCUAGUGGUAACAAUUUUUAUUGGGCCUAAAGCGUCCGUAGC